CUCAGGGCACUAUAGUGCCAGGAAAACGAGUAUGUUUUCCUGGCACUAUAGUGGUCCUUUAAUUAUUAUUGUGAGCAAAUUUACUUAGAAAAACAGCAAAUAGUUUCCUAAUUUUCUGUCUGCACAAACUCUCAUCAUAAUAAAGGUAAACUAAAAUGAAUAGGUAGAUCAGUCAUGCGCUAAUUUCAAUUACGGCAUACUGUAUAAUCACUGUUAUGAGUACGACACAUAUAAAAAGCUUACUGCAAGCCGAUGCUGUGCUAACCUUGCCGUUACUGCAGUAUAUAUUUCAAAUUAUAAUUAAGUUUUCAGUUUGGUUUAUUACCUUUGCUUUAAUCAUAUUUUAGGGGACUUGGUUUUAGAUGGAUCUUAAUAACAAAUGAUAACAAAAAUGUUUCAUUCAUAUAACUGCUUAAAACUCUUAGAGCUAUGUUUUUCUUUAAAACAAAACCUCUGAUUGCUUCUUUCUGAAGAUAGUCUUAAAAGCACUGACUACACUUUAGCUAGGAUGAACAUACCUUGUACCUACAGUAUGUUUGCUGCAAAUACAUUACAUAAGUAAAGAUACAGAGCACACAUUUCGAGUUUUGUUGUAUUUUGUUUACUUUUGUAGUGAAUCUAUCAUAGAAAUACAUCAUAGCAGUCCUUGCAGCUGGCAGAUCCACAUCCCUUGACGUCCCAUUGUACAGCGCUAAGGAAUCUGAUGGCGCUAAAUAAAUAAUAAAAUAAUAAUAAAAAAUAAUAAUGACAUCAUCAAGUCUGCCGACUCUUUAGCUUCUUGUUCAAUCAAACGAUUCUUAUAGAGAAACAUUACUGAUGAGCAGAGCAUGCAUGGUGAGCGCCACCCUCACUUAUCAAAUGCUUCUCAUAGGGAUGCACUGAGUGAAAUACGUUCCUAUGAGAAGCACUUGAUUAAGUUUGACGUCCACAUGGUCAUUGCAGUGGAAAUGCUUCUAGUGGUUGUCAGAAAGACUAUAAUGAACUCUACAAUGAGAGCAUUGCCAUCUCUACAAAAAAACAAAACAUUGCAAACAGGGCCACUGCACCUAGACCCCUUAAUUAAGAUGAAGUUACAGUGGCCCUUUUUUCACUGUAAAUUCACUUAGAAUUCUCACUUUAAUGAAAAAGUCUGUAAGCAUUUACCUUGAAGGACUAUUAGUCUAAUACUGGGG